UACGGAGGGUGCAAGCGUUAUCCGGAUUCACUGGGUUUAAAGGGUGCGUAGGUGGGUUGGGAAGUCAGUGGUGAAAUACUUUCGCUUGACGAAGGAACUGCCAUUGAUACUAUCAAUCUUGAAUGUAGUGGAGGUAGGCGGAAUGCGUCAUGUAGCGGUGAAAUGCUUAGAUAUGACGCAGAACACCAAUUGCGAAGGCAGCUUGCUACACUACUAUUGACACUGAGGCACGAAAGCGUGGGGAUCAAACAGG
rnacentral:rRNA from 1 species